UACAGAGGGGACUAGCGUUGUUCGGAAUCACUGGGCGUAAAGCGCACGUAGGCGGAUUCGUAAGUCAGGGGUGAAAUCCCGGGGCUCAACCUCGGAACUGCCUUUGAUACUGCGGGUCUUGAGUCCGAUAGAGGUGGGUGGAAUUCCUAGUGUAGAGGUGAAAUUCGUAGAUAUUAGGAAGAACACCGGUGGCGAAGGCGGCCCACUGGAUCGGUACUGACGCUGAGGUGCGAAAGCGUGGGGAGCAAACAGG
rnacentral:rRNA from 1 species